CGGGGAAUUUUGGACAAUGGGCGCAAGCCUGAUCCAGCCAUGCCGCGUGCGGGAAGAAGGCCUUCGGGUUGUAAACCGCUUUUGUCAGGGAAGAAAUCUUCUGAGUUAAUACCUCGGGAGGAUGACGGUACCUGAAGAAUAAGCACCGGCUAACUACGUGCCAGCAGCCGCGGUAAUACGUAGGGUGCAAGCGUUAAUCGGAAUUACUGGGCGUAAAGCGUGCGCAGGCGGUUUUGUAAGACAGAGGUGAAAUCCCCGGGCUCAACCUGGGAACUGCCUUUGUGACUGCAAGGCUUGAGUGCGGCAGAGGGGGGAUGGAAUUCCGCGUGUAGCAGUGAAAUGCGUAGAUAUGCGGAGGAACACCGAUGGCGAAGGCAAUCCCCUGGGCCUGCACCGACGCUCAUGCACGAAAGCGUGGGGAGCAAACAGGAUUAGAUACCCUGGUAGUCCACG
rnacentral:rRNA from 1 species